rnacentral:rRNA from 1 species
UACAGAGGGUGCGAGUGUUGUCCGGAAUCACUGGGCGUAAAGGGCGCGUAGGCGGCUUGAUAAGGUUGCGGUGAAAGCCCGGGGCUCAACCCCGGGUCGGCCGUGGCAACUGUCGAGCUGGAGCACUGUAGAGGCAGGUGGAAUUCCGGGUGUAGCGGUGGAAUGCGUAGAGAUCCGGAAGAACACCGGUGGCGAAGGCGGCCUGCUGGGCAGUGGCUGACGCUGAGGCGCGACAGCGUGGGGAGCAAACAGG